rnacentral:lncRNA from 1 species
AUGGUGCGAAACACCRGCCGCGGCCAGGGAAGAUCCAAAGCGUCGGUUUCCCUUCACCCUGCACGCAUCGAGCGGGGCAGGCGGCUACGGCRGGAGGUUUUCCCGCUGGCUCUGCAGUGCGCCAGGCCCGGGGAUCUGCUUGCAAAAGGCCGAGCGCAGCUCUCCRCAUCCCGCGGGAUGGUUCCCUGCUCGCUCCGUCCCUCAGCUCCAGCCCGGCACCGGGACGGCUGGGGCAAUAAGGCGGGAGGCAAUGUGGCUGGGUUUGGGACUAAGAUGAGCUGCGGCGAGCACAAGCGAGCUGGCGUCGGGGCUGAGCUUUUGGGGAUGCCCAGGACCCACGAGGGGCGGAGGGGUCCAGCCCAGGGUGGGGGCUACACUGAAAAAGCUCAAAGAAGGGGGGAGGCAGGCGAGCGGCAGCCCGAAGCAUCCUGCUCUGCUCCGCGCUGCGCUCCUCUGCCCUCCGAGCCCGGCCCCAGCGGCACCUUCCCCUCUCCGAGCACGGGGCGGCCGCAGGAGGAGACGCCGAGAGCCCGGAGCCGGCCCCCAAGGCAGCGCGGUGCUGAGGCCAGAGGACCCGCAAGCGGCAAAGGCGCCGACCGCGUGGGCAAACGUGGGGGCCAAAGGCUGGGAAUGGCUCCGCCUGGCCCCGACGGCCGUGUCCUGUGCUCGGGGCAGGGACUGAGGCCACCGYGGCCCCCGGGGCAGAGCAAAGCAGGAUUUGGCCUUGUGCCUUUGCUGUGCUGGGGCUGUUGCGGGAGCAAAGCUGCCUUUCCCUCGUCUCCCCGUGGCCACAACCAAGCGGGACGCGGUCUAGCCCAGCUCGGGAACGGGAAGGGUCCCCGGUGCUGCCGGUGGGGCUGCGCCGCCGGGAUGGUCCCGCGGCUGAGCCAGGCACCCUGUCCUCAGCACCCGCCUGYGCCCGGGGCUGUGAACCCAGCUGCUGGCGUUGAACGGUGGGAAGCGGCGACCGGGCACUCGCAGGCUCCUGUUUCUCCGCAAGCAUCUCGCUGCGGUUCUCCAGAGUGGAAACCGCAAGGAACAGGACAGCUGGGAAGCGCAAAGGGCAGCGGGAGGGAAAGCUUUCCCGGAGGAGAAGGGAUGGCGAGAAAGGACCUUCCCCGCCGGCGUUUUCCCCCCGUAUCUUGGCUCUCCAGCACCGGCUGCAUUUGCAGAGCCGGUACCCGCCACAGAUCUUGCAGCAAGGAGGAAGGCGGGGGCAGAGCUGCUCUCGGCUUGCGCACAAAUGUAUCGGUGCUGGCUCUUCUAACUCUUUUCUUUUUUUUCCCCCUCUUUCUGGCUUAA